GAAUCAGUGACAGGAGAAAAACAAUCGAACAAUGGGUUGCACAUGCGCCGUGCUGACGACAGGCUCCGGUGAGGAUGGCGGCUAUUAACCUGGGUUAUGUGAUCGAAGAAUCUGAGGCGUUGUCGCCGAUUGACAUACCAUAAAGGAGGAAACCGGAGUACCCGGAAGAAACUCGCACAGAUACGGGGAGAAUAUGCAAACUCCACGCAGUUGCCUGAGGCUGGAAUCAAACCUGGGUCCCUGGCACUAUGAGGCAGCAGUGCUAACCACUGAGCCACUGUGCAUCCCUGGAAACAAAAGUGAAAUGAGGCUUUUCAGAGGAUCUGAAAGGAUAUUAGAAGCUCCUGUUGGAAACACUACAUCGGACAAACAGGAAGGAGUCUAACAACGAGUACAUGAACACCAACUGGCUACAAAAAGACAUGACCAAUACUCACUCAUCUCAAUCCACAUGGACGAGGAGAACCAGCAUUUUGACUGGGACAACACCAAGAUCCUGAGACAAUCUAGGCAGAGACCAGCACGUGAAUUCCUAGAUGCCUGACACUCCACGAAGCAUGCUGUUAAUAGACACAUUGAACUUGACCCCAUAUACAUUCCAUUACGAAGGAAAACCGGAAGUGAGGCAGUCCAGCUCAACGGACCCGAGAGUUUAAAAACAAUGUUGGAAAACACACCAACGCUUCAUUCGGAGGCUGCACUGAGGACAUUACCUAGCAUUGUAAUGAAACGUCUGCGAAACAAGAAACCAGCUCUGUGAGCCAACCAACCUCAACAACCACAACCAAGCUAUAAAUCUACUCCAAAACCUUGUAUCAGAGAUAAAAGGACAUUUCUGAUGAAAGAUCUAGGCCCGAAACGUCAGCUUUCCUGCUCCUAAGAUGCUGCUUGGCCUGCUGUGUUUAUCCAGCUCUACACCUUGUUACUCCAAAAUCUUAAUGUGUACUUUAACCAUGUUUUGUACUUUGUUCUUGUUCUUGUUUCUGCAAACUUUGCCCAAAUGAAGUUUCCACUGUUGCCCCUGCCCAGCAAUUUGCUACUGAUAUACCAGCUUUAUCAUCUCAUUGCCAGGAACUGUUUUUUCCUACACAGGAGCUAAUUUCUCUUCUUCUGAUCUUCUGUAGUAAAGCAAAUUCUCCACCAUUUUAUUAGUUGUAAUUUAUUCAGCAUAUCCUGAAACAUAGUAAUUACCUUGCCUUCUGAUUAUUUCCACUAUUUGCUGUUUUUUUUGUAGCAGAGUUUCAACAUCAGAAGUUAUGAUCGAUUUGUAAGCAGCAGAACUGCAGAUCACUUCAAAAUUACUAAGAGCUUAAAUGUGAGAGGCCAGCCGGGAGUGCAGCAUGAUCGUUUAAAUAUAAGAAUUCAAUGGAGAAAAUUGCAAAAUAGGUGAGCUGACACGAGGGUAGAGUUGGAUGAUGUCACUAUGUGGAAAUAGAUGGUUUUUGAUGAUGAUAUGAACAUCUUGUUUAAAGUUUAGAUUACGCAUGAUGUUGUAAAUGGUAUGGUUCAGCAUCAGACAGUUGCAGGGAGAGAGGGAAGAUUAAGGUUCUUGCGAAGAUUUUUACCUCCAAAUAUGGAUGAGGUUGUUAGCUGGCUUCCCAGUUAUCGUACAGACACUUCAUCACCAUGCGAGGUAACACCAUCAGUGCAGCCUCCGAUGAAGCGAUGUUGUUCGACUCCGCUUGGUAAUUAUAUGAUCCAGUCUGUUAAGCUGGGUUGUGUCCUUUCCGGUUCUGAUCUGCGUGGGUUUGUAUAUGUGGUCUAAUUCCACAUGUUUGUUGAUUUGCAUUACAGCUUGAAAACCAGGAUGGGACAAUGUGACCAUUCUGGCUCAAGCCAACCACAGAGACACACAGAAAUUCCCUCAGACCUGGUUUUCAACCCCUAAGGUAAUCAUCAAAUACCAAGCAGAGUAGAACAACAUCACGUCAUCAGAGACCACACUGAUGUUACCUAGCAUGGUGACAAAACCAGCUAUAUCGAUGAGCAAGCCAAUAACCUCAGAGAAAUAAUGUGGGCUAGAGUGUGGAGUUUGUAACUGAAAAUAGUUUCUUUUAUCUUUUGGAGAAUAUUUCUAUUUAUCUUGUAUUAGAUGCCAGGAAAAUUUGGAGGUCACAGUGUUCACAUACAUCUCCUAUCCCAGUCCUUCUAAAUUGUAAAGUUUGGGAGAUUCUGUCACAGUUCUUGUUGAACUGUAAAUACAUAGCAUCUCUCUCCUUUGCCUCUCCCUCUCUCACUCCUGUCUUUUUGAUUCACCCUGCAGAGGCCAGAGUGUUGUGCAUGUUCAGACUGCGGAAGCAGAUUCCCUUCCCCGUGGACAUUAGUGGUCCAGUUUGGUUUAUUUUAUGACAUUCUGUCAGCUUUCCAGCCCAACAAAUUAGCAAGUUUAUUCAGCUGAAUUUCGCAACUUGCUUUUGUGUAUUUGUGGGUGUACCCUCACUCCCUUUUAUUUUUGUUCUGUUUUGAAACAGUUUCAGAGGGUGUUUAGAGGAGGAGGAAUUACAGUCAGGGAUCACUGAUCUAUCACCUCAGAAUCUGAUGGAGGUUUCUUAUUUGUCACAACCAGAAUGUAAAUAGAUUUUGAACAUGGAAAGAAAGAGCACAGUUCACAUUGAAGAGAGCCCCUAUACAUGUUUGGUGUGGGGAAGGAUUCAGCCAAUUAUCUGGCUGUUGGGAAACAAAUGCAGUCACAAUGGGGGAAUAAACCCCAUUUCUUAUCUCCUUGAAAGAAAGGUUUCUGUCAUUUAGGUGUUGUCAUCCAUGUACUUUAUUCAAAAAUGCAAUUGAUAAAAUGUCAUGCAACAAACUUGAGUGAGGAUAGACAUCGUAGAUUAAAAGUACAGCAGCAACUUGAGUACGAAAUUGACUGAGAGAUGGGAGAGAGAGGCUACUGGAUAAUCAAUGUUUUUCAGGCUGCAGGAAUGUUAAUAGUGGAGUUUUCCAAGGAUUCAUGCUCAGACUGCUACAUUUCCUGAUUCAUUCAAAUUACCUAGCUGUUAAUCAUAGUAUUAUUUCAAAAUUUGCAGAAUCUUAAGUGGGUCCAAAGCAGUGGCAGUUUCUCUUCUCUGAAGGACAUCGAUGAAAUAGUUGUUUGUUUUUAUGAAACCCUGCAGCUUUCAUGGUUACUUUUCCCACGUCCUGGCCCCACAAAAGACCAGAUUCAUUAAGGUCAAAUUCCCAACCUACAUUUGAGAUUUUGAGUGCUCUGUCUCUCACUCUCUUUAUAGAUUUCAAUCAACUUCACAGAGUGCUAGAAACAGAAGGUUUACAGGACGAAUUCAAAAACCAAUCAUUAAAUCGAGCUCUCUGAUGAAGGGUCUAGGCCCGAAACGUCAGCUUUUGUGCUCCUGAGAUGCUGCUUGGCCUGCUGUGUUCAUCCAGCCUCACAUUUUAUCAUCAUUAAAUCGAGCUCGCACAGAUAUGACUCAUUUAUUCACAACCUAAAUAUCAAUGGAUUUUGAACAUGGAAGGAAAAAGCAGGCAUAUCUUAAAGAAGGAAAUUGGAGUAGAGAGCAGGAGUACUUUGAGGAGGAAAUUCCAGAGCUCGUAUAAUAUGCAACUGAAAGAAUGACCAUUGAUAGUGUCACAAUUUAAAUCAGGAAUGCACAGAAUCCUGAAUUGAUUUUUUACAGACAUUUUCAGAAGAGUGUGCUUCUUAGGAGGUUGCAGAAAUGGGGAUUGUUGUAACGAUGGAGCAAAAUAAAGGUGUGUAUUUUAGAAUGUUGUGGCUGCAAACCUAAGCCCAUUGUCGCAUCGGGUGUGCAUGUCCAUAUUUAAAGACUGUGUAAUAUGCUGAAAUCAAUGGAAUUAUUUUGAGAUUUUCAGGAUAGUGAUUUUGUGGCCAUCUGUUCAGUAGUGUUUUGGUCUUUUUGCUGAAGUCAAAACUCUUGAGGAAAUCAAGUGAAACACUAUCAAAUUCAUACUUGGGAGAGACCUACCCAACUUGUGGAAUGUGCUGUAAAAUUUCAGUUUUAUUUAAUGGCCUAUUUAUGUGUUCAGAGAUGAGACCUUUUCAAUGCCCACACUGUAGGAAGUGUUACAAAAUUCCAAGGGGACUGAUGAACAGUGGCUCACUGCUGCCUCGCAGCACCAAGGUCCUGGUUUCGACACCACCCUCGGGCAACAAUCUGUGUGGAGUUUGCACGUUCUCCCUAUGUCUGCAUGGGUUUCUUCUGGGUGCUCUGGUUUCCUCUGAGUCCAAAGAUUUGCAGGCUAGGUGGAUUGCCCACGCUGAAUUGCCCAUAGCGCUCAGGGAUGAGUACAUUAGGUGGGUUACAGGAGAUGGGUCUGGGUGGGAUCUCCUGAGGGUCGGUGUUGGGCCAAAGGGCCUGUUUCCACACUGUAGGGGUUCUAUGAUCUCCUAUGAUGAACCAGCAACACGUUCACACUAAGGAGAGACCUUUGAAUGCUUAGAUUGUAGGUAAAGCUUUAAAACAUCCAGCAAUCUGAUCUCCCAUUGAUGUGUUCACACUGAUAAGAGGCCUUUCAAACACAGAUUGUGGGAAAUGUUUGAAGUUCCACAGGUUUGAGUAAUCAGCGUGUUCCUUCUGAUGACAAGCCUUUUAAAUAUUCAGACUGUGGGAGGUGCUCUAAAAGUUCCUGGGCACUGACUUCCCAUCAAUGAGUUUACGUGCUGUCACUGUGGGACCAGUUUCAGAAGAUCAUUUGACCCUAUCUAAAUACUGGUGAAUUCACACUACAGAGAGCCCUUCACUUUGGUCCUGUUGCCUUGUGGUACACCAGCAAGUUCACACUAAGGGGAGACUUUAAGUGGUCUCAUCACUGCACACCAGUGACUUCAGACUGGGCAGAGGCUGUUCAUCUGCAUUAGGUGUUAGAGAUUUACACAGGACCUUAUAAGUCUGAGACACAGAGUUCACAAAUUAUUUAGGGAGUUGGGUUUUUCUCUUAAUUACUUCCAGGACUGAACUCUGUCCAUUGGUUUUCUUUGUUGAUAUCCUGAAUAAAAGUCAAAUAAAUCAACUUUGUGUUAAACCCA